rnacentral:rRNA from 1 species
AUGGGCAGGAACGGGAGCGUCAAGCGGGGCGCGGCCGCCGCGGCGCCUCCGUCGUUCACGGUGAACCCGGCCGACUACCGGCUCAUGGAGGAGGUGGGCUACGGCGCGCACGCCGUCGUGUACCGCGCGCUCUUCCUCCCCAGGAACCAGACCGUUGCCGUCAAGUGCCUGGAUCUCGACCAGCUCAACAACAACAUCGAUGAAGUACAAAGGGAGGCUCAAAUAAUGAGCUUGAUCGAUCACCCUAAUGUCAUCAGGGCUUACUGCUCAUUUGUUGUGGAGCACAGUCUUUGGGUCAUAAUGCCAUUCAUGACGGAGGGUUCAUGUUUACACUUGAUGAAGAUUGCGUAUCCUGAAGGUUUCGAGGAACCUGUCAUUGCAUCAAUUUUAAAAGAAACACUCAAGGCUCUGGAGUACCUUCAUAGGCAAGGACAAAUCCAUCGUGAUAUCAAGGCUGGUAACAUCCUUAUUGAUAGUGCUGGUGUAGUGAAGCUUGGGGACUUUGGCGUUUCUGCUUGUAUGUUUGAUAGAGGUGAUAGGCAAAGAUCUAGGAACACAUUUGUUGGAACUCCAUGCUGGAUGGCUCCAGAAGUGCUCCAGCCUGGCACUGGAUAUAACUUCAAAGCCGAUAUAUGGUCGUUUGGAAUUACUGCACUUGAACUAGCGCAUGGACAUGCUCCAUUUUCGAAGUACCCCCCUAUGAAGGUUCUUCUCAUGACUCUCCAGAAUGCGCCACCUGGUCUUGACUAUGACCGAGACAGAAGAUUUUCGAAGGCAUUUAAAGAGAUGGUUGCGAUGUGCUUGGUGAAAGAUCAAACAAAGAGGCCGACGGCUGAGAAGUUGCUCAAACAUUCAUUUUUCAAAACUGCAAAACCUCCAGAAUCGACAAUGAAGGGUAUGUUAACUGAUCUACCUCCUCUAUGGGAGCGUGUAAAGGCACUCCAGCUUAAAGACGCAGCACAAUUGGCUUUGAAGAAAAUGCCUUCUUCUGAGCAGGAGGCACUUUCCCUGAGUGAAUACCAGCGAGGUGUUAGUGCGUGGCACUUUGAUAUUGAAGACCUCAAGGCUCAAGCAUCACUAAUUUAUGAGGAUGAACCAUCUGAAACAAAAGAAGACGAUGUCGCUGCAAGAAUCAUUGAAUCUGAAAAGAGUUUAUAUUCAAGGACCCCUUCAGGACAGUCGUCAUCUGCAAAUGAAAAUACCUGCAGUGAAGAAACCUCUACGACGAAUCCUGAUUGUAGAAGGAUGCCCAAUGGACAUGAAAAUUCUAGAUCAGAGAAUGAUUCAUUGCCAUCUACAUCAAGGGAACCAGAGUCGAAAUAUUGGAGAACUAAUGUUGGACAGAAACAACAGACUUCUGGGGGUCCAGUUGAAGGUGGUGUUAAUAGCUCAACAACUGAAAGGAGCCAUAAUUUUGAAAGGGAUGCAACUGCUGACAAACAUGGAAGUGAUACGAGAAGAGCCGCAAAUCUUAGUGGUCCAUUAUCAUUGCCAACUCGUGCCUCUGCAAACAGUUACUCAGCUCCUAUACGGUCUUCAGGAGGAUAUGUAGAUUCAUUGGGAGAUAAAUCUAAACGUAGCGUGGUGCAUAUUAAAGGCCGCUUUUCUGUGACAUCUGAGAACGUUGAUCUUGCGAAGGUUCAGGAAAUUCCAUUGAGUAGCAUCUCACGCAAAUCACCACAGGGUAUACAGCUAAGAAAAUCCGCAAGUGUUGGUGAUUGGAUUGUCAAUGCCAAACCAAUGUGGAGAAAUGAAGACACACCUAAAAGGCACUGUAUUUUACCUUUCAAAAUGUCUAACAGUCAUCAUCUGAAGGAACUCUGCAAUAGCUCGGUAUCAUCGUCUGUUCUCAUUCCCCACCUUGAGAACCUCGUGCAACAGACUACGCUUCAGCAAGAUCUGAUCGUGAACCUACUAAGUAGCAUGCAACAGAAUGAGAAAGCUGACGGUGCACAGUCUGGAACGUCGUCGCAAGUCCGAAAUAUGCAAAGUGAGACGGUGGUUGAAACAUCUAAUACUGAGAAAGAACGGUCAUUACUUGUUAAAAUUUCAGAGCUGCAGUCUAGAAUGAUUACUUUGACUGACGAACUGAUUUCAGCCAAGCAAAAACAUGUUCAGUUGCAGCAAGAACUUAAUGCAUUAUACUGCCGAGAAGAAAUAGAAGACAUUAGGGACGAGGACAAUGAAGAAACAUAG